rnacentral:rRNA from 1 species
AAAUUGAAGAGUUUGAUCAUGGCUCAGAUUGAACGCUGGCGGCAGGCCUAACACAUGCAAGUCGAACGGUAACAGGAAGAAGCUUGCUUCUUUGCUGACGAGUGGCGGACGGGUGAGUAAUGUCUGGGAAACUGCCUGAUGGAGGGGGAUAACUACUGGAAACGGUAGCUAAUACCGCAUAAUGUCGCAAGACCAAAGAGGGGGACCUUCGGGCCUCUUGCCAUCGGAUGUGCCCAGAUGGGAUUAGCUAGUAGGUGGGGUAACGGCUCACCUAGGCGACGAUCCCUAGCUGGUCUGAGAGGAUGACCAGCCACACUGGAACUGAGACACGGUCCAGACUCCUACGGGAGGCAGCAGUGGGGAAU